rnacentral:tRNA from 2 species
GGGUUGUUGGUGUAGUCCGGCUCAGCAUAUGGCACUGUCUAUGCCGUGACGGGGGUUCAAAGUCUCCACGGUUGCGUGGAGUAUGGAAAUCCCUCACAACCCGCCA